rnacentral:rRNA from 1 species
UUAUCCGGAUUCACUGGGUGUAAAGGGAGCGUAGACGGCACGGCAAGCCAGAUGUGAAAGCCCGGGGCUCAACCCCGGGACUGCAUUUGGAACUGCUGAGCUAGAGUGUCGGAGAGGCAAGUGGAAUUCCUAGUGUAGCGGUGAAAUGCGUAGAUAUUAGGAGGAACACCAGUGGCGAAGGCGGCUUGCUGGACGAUGACUGACGUUGAGGCUCGAAAGCGUGGGGAGCAAACAGGAUUAGAUACCCUGGUAGUCCACGCCGUAAACGAUGACUGCUAGGUGUCGGGUGGCAAAGCCAUUCGGUGCCGCAGCUAACGCAAUAAGCAGUCCACCUGGGGAGUACGUUCGCAAGAAUGAAACUCAA